CCAUCUGUGGGAUUCAAUUUACAUAAACUGAAGACUAUUCUUCUGAGUUGAAGUGAGGAGAGGCAUCAAUCACACUGGAAAAUUAUUUGAUCUCCUGGAAGCAAAAAGUCCACCAUGAAGUUGUUCUUGCCAUGGACUUCUAGAGGAGCUGACUGUCCUUUGGGAAGCUACAAAUACAGCCUUAAAAUCUGUUAGCAGGGAAGAGAGGCUUUUUCUGAGUGAUCAGGCACUGGGCCAUGUGCUAUAGGUACAGCCUCUGCCCCAAAGAGACU
rnacentral:lncRNA from 1 species